UUAACCUAAUUCGGCCUCCAUUUUUCUAAAUGGCAAAAGUAAAUAUUGUGAACGCCGUACAGCACUUCUUCGGAUUUUUUUGUGUUAGGCGCGCCGCCGUUGCCCUCCGGUGCAAAAGGAAUUACGUAUACACAGCAUUCAUCGGCCUCACAUGAUAUUGUGUGCUGCGCUGUUGUGAGGAUGCACUAGUGGAUUGGUGGUUGUAAAAUUGUGAUAUUGGCUAGGGGUUGCGGACAUUUUUCUGUGGAGGGACAAUAAAAUUACUGCCAGUGUGCUUGGGUUUGCCACUUCACUUUGGGUGCUUUUUUAGUUGCAUCAGAACCAUUUGCUUACGUUUGUUUGCCAUAUGCUGAUCCUUGCAUUGGCAGUCCUUUUCCUUUGGUCCGAUGCAUCCACCUUCAUCAACAAAUCUCCACCCCAAAUUCCAGAUGUCAUUCUGCCUGAAGACAUUGUCCUGGGUGUUGCUGCUGUAGUCAGGACUGAAAUAGACAAAGGUCUUGAAAAUAAAUUCUGUUGCUGCUGUAUUCAGGACUGUAUGUUAUUAUGUCCUUCUUGUUAAUAUUAUCUUCCAAAAUAAUUUCUGCUACGCCAUCAUAUCCGUAAAGCUUUCAUUGCUAAAUUUAUUUAAUUUUUACUUCCAUCCAAUUAAUGUAGUCUAUUUUUUUAGUC